GCGAUAGUAGUCUAGUGGUAGGACAGGGGCUUCCCAAGCCUCUAACUCGGGUUCGAAUCCCGGCUAUCGCA
rfam:Methanofollis liminatans DSM 4140 chromosome, whole genome shotgun sequence.